rnacentral:rRNA from 1 species
AUGAUGGAGCCGGCGGGAGACUCUUUUGUGGAGGCCGCGAUUGCAUGGCUGGUGCAGACCAUCCUUGCAACGCUCCUGAUGGACAAGAUGGAGGAGUGGAUUCGGCAAGUCGGUCUUGCCGACGACGUCGAGAGGCUCCAGCGCGAGGUCGAGAGAGUCGACAUGGUGGUGGCUGCUGUGAAGGGGAGGGCAGCCGGGAACAGGCCUCUGUCCCGGGCUCUCGCUCGUGUCAAGGAGCUUCUCUACGACGCCGACGACGUGGUCGACGAACUGGACUACUACAGGCUCCAACAGCAAGUCGAAGGAGUUACGAGUGACAAGCCUGACGAUAUGCGUGGAGCUGAAAGAGUGGAUGAAAUAUCAAGGGGCCAUGUCGAUACACUGAAUGUCAGUGUUGGGAAAUUACGGUCCUCGGUAUGGGAACACUUUACCAUCACAGAAACUGUCGACCGGAAGCGUUCAAAAGCCAAAUGUAAGUACUGUAGAAAGGAUUUUAAUUGCGAAACGAAGACAAACGGGACUUCAUCUAUGAAAAAACAUUUGGAGAAAGAGCAUUCCGUAACUUGUACGAAGAAACGUGGAGCCCAUCCACCAAACCCUUCAAGCACCGGUGAUGCGACUUGUAAUGUGAGGUCGGUUGAAGUUGGUAGUUCGUCCAACGGAAAAAGAAAGAGAACAAAUGAGGAUCCAACACAAACCACCGCAGCUAACACACACACCCAAUGGGACAAGGCUGAGUUUUCCAAUAGGAUAAUUAAAAUUACAGGCCAGUUACAGUCACAGGACAUCCAAGGGGCUUUGAGUAAAGUUCUUGGGCCAUAUGGACCUAGCGCUACUUCAAGUUCAAGUCAUCACCGCCCGAGUACAACCUCAGCUCAGCACCCAACAACAUCAAGUCUUGUUCCACUGGAAGUUUAUGGCAGAGUUGCAGAAAAGAACAAGAUCAAAAAGUCAAUAACUGAAAACCAAUCUGGUGGUGUAAAUGUUCUACCUAUUGUAGGCAUUGCAGGUGUUGGAAAGACAACUCUCGCUCAAUUUGUGUAUAAUGAUCCAGACGUGAAAAGUCAAUUUCACCACAGGAUAUGGGUUUGUGUGUCCCGUAAAUUUGAUGAAGUGAAGCUCACAAAGGAGAUGUUAGACUUUUUUCCUCGAGAAAGGUAUGAAGGAAUUAGCAAUUUUGCGAAGCUUCAAGAGAUCUUGAAAGAACAUAUCGAGUACCAGUCGAAGAGCUUUCUGCUUGUAUUAGACGAUGUCUCGGACAAUGUUGAUUAUCAUAAAUGGAACAAAUUGUUGUACCCUUUGAUGUCAAGUCAAGCAAAGGGUAAUAUAAUUCUAGUCACAACCAAAAAUUUGUCUGUUGCACAAAGGUUAAGAACACUUGAACCGAUCAAGUUAGGUGCUUUAGAAAAUGAUGAUAUGUGGUUAUUGCUCAAGUCAUGUGCAUUUGGUUUUGGGGACUACAAAGGUCCGGGAAAUCUAAGAGCUAUUGGAAUGCAAAUAGCAGAGAAGUUAAAGGGCAACCCGUUAGCAGCAGUAACUGCAGGGGCACUGUUAAGAGAUCAUCUUAGCGUUGAUCAUUGGAGUAACAUUCUCAAGAAAGAGAAGUGGAAAUCGUUGGGACUCCAUGGGGGCAUCAUGCCUGCUUUGAAGCUUAGCUAUGAUGAGCUACCGUACCAUUUACAACAAUGUUUCUCGUAUUGUUCUAUAUUUUCUGAAAAAUAUAGGUUUCUUCGGAAGGAACUGGUCUAUAUUUGGAUUUCUCAAGGAUUUUUGAAUCACACUAAGAGAUUGGAGGAGAUAGGAUGGGAAUGUCUGAAUAAUUUGGUGAACCUGGGAUUCUUUCAGCAGAUUGGAGAGCAACAGGAAGGGGAUGAAGAUGAGGAAGAAGAUUUUUUUCUAGGCAGUAAAAUUUGGUAUUGUAUGUCUGGUCUCAUGCACGAUUUUGCAAGGAUGGUUUCAAGGACUGAGUGUGCAACCAUGGAUGGUCUUCAGUGUAAUAAUAUGUUACCAACUAUACGUCACUUGUCAAUUGUGACCAAUUCUGCAUAUAGCAAAGAACAGCAUGGAACCAUACCUCGCAAUAUCAAGUUUGAAGAGAACCUGAGAAAUGCAUUUGCAUCAGUGAGGAAAUUGAGGACAUUAGUUUUAUUUGGGCACUACGACUCUUUCUUCUUCAAAUUGUUCCUUGAUAUAUUCCAGAAGGACCAGAACUUGCGUCUGCUGCAAAUGUCUGCAACAUGUGCUGAUUUUGAUUCCUUCAUGUGUAGUUUGGUAAAUCCUGCACAUCUUCGCUAUCUAAAACGUGAACCUGAUGAGGUGAAUGGUGCUUCCCCUCAAAUUUUGAGCAAGUUGUACCAUCUUCAAAUAUUAGAUGUUGGCUCAUACACUGAUCCUAUACCUGAUGGUAAUAAUAAUCUAGUUAGCCUGCGGCAUCUUAUUCCAGAAAAUGGAGUAUACUCUUCCAUUGCUAGCAUUGGUAGAAUGACAUCACUUAAAGAGCUACAUCAUUUUAAGGUUCGGUUUUGUUCUAGAGGAUUUGAGAUAUCACAACUCCAAUGCAUGAACGAGCUUGUACAACUUGGGGUGUCUCGAGUUGAUAGUGUUAAAACUCGGGAGGAGGCUUAUGGAGCAGGACUGAGAAGCAAAGAAUACUUGAAAAAUCUGCACUUGUCCUGGAAGGAUACCUUGUCACAGAAGGAAUGUGACACUAGCUCUGAAUAUUCUGCAGACGAAAACGAGGAGCUCUCACAAAUGGAUACAGCAAGAGAGGUGCUCGAGGGACUUGAACCUCACAUGAACUUAAAGCAUCUACAUAUAUCUGGGUAUAAUGGUACUACUUCACCAACUUGGCUUGCCAACAAUCUCUCAGUUACCUCCUUGCAGACGCUUCACCUUGAUGGUUGUCGAAGAUGGAGAAUACUUCCAUCUCUUGAAAGUCUUCCAUUUCUUACAAAGCUGAAGUUGAGCAGCAUGCUGGAAGUAAUAGAAGUAUUGGUUCCUUCACUGGAGGAGCUAGUUUUGAUGGACAUGCCUAAGUUAGUGAGAUGCUCAAGCAUUUCUGUGGGGGCUCUGAACUCUAGCUUACGAGCACUACGGAUCGAGGAUUGUGAAGCACUAAAGGAGUUUGAUCUGUUUGAGAACGAUGAUAAUUCUGAAAUCAUUCAGGGGUCAUGGCUGCCUGGUCUUAGGAAUUUGAUUGUGAAAUGUUGCCCUCAUUUGAAAGUGUUGAAGCCUCUUUCACCUUCAACUACCUUUUCUAAGGUAGUCAUCAGAGAAGUUCCAAGAUUUCCGUAUAUGGAGGUAUCAUCUGGUGAAAAGUUAGAAAUUGGGAAAUUUGAUGAGGACGGAGAUGAUUUUGAUGAAUCUUGUGAUGAGUUGAGGAUACUGGAUGACAAAAUUUUGGCAUUCCACAAUCUUAGAAACCUCAAAUCGAUGGAGAUAUAUGGUUGCAGAAAUCUAAGGUCUUUUCUGUUCGAAGGUUUCAGUCAUCUUGUCUCUUUAUUAAGUUUGGAUAUAACAAAGUGUGAACAACUUUUCUCUUCGGAUAUGUCGCCAGAGUAUACCCUUGAAGAUGUGAGAGCUGUGAACUUCAAUGCCUUCCCAUUUCUCAAAAAUCUCAGUAUUGACUCAUGCGGAAUAGCGGGGAAGUGGCUAUCGCUGAUGCUGCAGCAUGCGCCAGGCCUAGAGGAAUUGCGUUUAAGAUAUUGCGCACAUAUAACAAGAGUAGUGUUACCGAUGGAAGAGGAAGAAAACAGUCUCUUAACAACAGUAGUGUCAUCAGGAAAUCAAGAUGAGGCAUUGACCUGGUUAGUUCGUGACGGACUCUUGCACAUUCCAUCAAAUCUCGUCUCCUCUCUCAAGAAGAUGACUAUUGGUCAGUGCCCUCGCCUAAAGUUUAACUCGGGCAAGGACUGCUUCUCUGGAUUUACCUCGCUUGAGAAGCUUGAAAUUUGGGGAUCAUUGGUGGAUGAUGACGGAAGUGAUGACCUGGAGAAUGGAAGUCCUUUUGUGUUCGGAGAGGAGGAUCAACCCCUGGGAGCGAAUGGAAGAUGGCUCCUCCCGACAUCACUUCAGGAGCUUAACAUCGGGUGGUUCUGUUACCAAGAAACGCUGCAACCCUGCUUUCCUAGAGAUAUCACCAGCCUUAAAGAGUUAAGUGUACGUUCAAUCCAAGGUUUGCAAUCUCUACAGCUGCACUCAUGCACGGCACUGGAAGGAUUGGAGAUUAGAGGCUGUGAAUCGCUCACCGUCACUGUACUAGAGGGCAUGCAACCCAUUGGCAGCCUCGUGCGUUUGAAUGUAUCAGACAGUACUGGCUUGCCACCAUGUUUGGAGAGCUUUUCAACGCUGUGCCCUCGGCUUGAAAGGCUUUGCACCGAUGACCCAUCUGUCCUUACCACGUCAUUCUGCAAGCACCUCACCUCCCUACAAAGACUAGAACUUAGUUUCUUGAAAGUGACGAGACUAACAGAUGAGCAAGAGCAAGCGCUUGUGCUGCUCAAAUCCCUGCAAAAGCUCGAAUUCAUUUGGUGUUCUGCUCUAGUAGUUCUUCCUGAGGGGCUGCACACCCUUCCUUCCCUCAAGAGAUUGGAGAUAAACCAGUGUGGACGCAUCACAAGGCUGCCAGAAGCAGGCCUCCCACAUUCGCUGGAAGAACUCGAAAUCCGGUCUUGCAGCCAGGAGCUAGAUGAUGAAUGCAGGCGGCUAGCAACAAGCAAACUGAAAGUCAAGAUUGAUUGGACGUAUGUGAAUUAA